UCGGGUGUGGUGUAUGGCACACCCUCCCUCCCACUGAGAUGAGCACAUCUAGGUUGAUGGGAGAGACCCGGGUUCGAUUCCUGGUGCCCGAG